rnacentral:lncRNA from 1 species
AGGUAUUCAAGAAAUGGCAACAGCCAGAAGUUGCCAUCUUAUCCAGCACGUUAUGGGUACACUCUGGCGGCUCCUACCCCUGCGUCCUACCACCACCCUCUCCCGACUACGUCCACUAGGGAGUUGGAAGCCUUAGUGAUGAUGCCAAGCAGGCUGACAGCAGACAGAAAUAUUCAGGUUGCCUUGAAAUUUUACCCAAGCCAUGCCACAUACUCGGGCCAGGCCUCUUGCGAACUACGUAUAACCAGGCUCAACACAUCAGUGUCGAGUGAGUCCGGAUAUCAAGGAAACCUGCUGUGCAACCAUCGCGCAACACUUGGUGACCCCUCUACGUGUUCCAUCUAUUUCACAGCUGUACCUCAGUUUCCAUCUAUCCAAACAGCAUCACCAGCUGUUUCUUAUCUUAUCGAUCACUUAUCGAACCAUGGAUGAAUGUUGGGGUGGAGUGAUUUGAGCAGACAUUCUAUUUGUCUCUUCAAAUUCUUUGCAUAUAUUUCUAUUAUUAUAAUUCAUAUGUUUCUUUAGUACCUAGUUUUUAAUAGUUCCUUUCUCGUAGAGUUCUGACCAUCAACUCCUGCUAUUAUAAUGUAUACCUGUCUUUAUGCCCCGUUUCUCAUAGUUCUUUUGUGCUUGUGGAUGUAAUUGAUAGGUUCUUAAUUCUUGUUGUACAGAAGGCUAAAAUGCAAACUUACGGUAUUUUUCCUUCCUUUGAUAACCUACAGCACUGCAAUGUGUUCAAGAAAUUUAACAUAACACGGGCUCUGGUGCAGGAUAAAUUUAAGAGCAAUAUAGCGUACUUAUUUCAAGC